rnacentral:rRNA from 1 species
GCAAGUAGAACGCUGAAGAGAGGAGCUUGCUCUUCUUGGAUGAGUUGCGAACGGGUGAGUAACGCGUAGGUAACCUGCCUUGUAGCGGGGGAUAACUAUUGGAAACGAUAGCUAAUACCGCAUAACAAUGGAUGACACAUGUCAUUUAUUUGAAAGGGGCAAUUGCUCCACUACAAGAUGGACCUGCGUUGUAUUAGCUAGUAGGUGAGGUAAUGGCUCACCUAGGCGACGAUACAUAGCCGACCUGAGAGGGUGAUCGGCCACACUGGGACUGAGACACGGCCCAGACUCCUACGGGAGGCAGCAGUAGGGAAUCUUCGGCAAUGGGGGCAACCCUGACCGAGCAACGCCGCGUGAGUGAAGAAGGUUUUCGGAUCGUAAAGCUCUGUUGUAAGUCAAGAACGGGUGUGAGAGUGGAAAGUUCACACUGUGACGGUAGCUUACCAGAAAGGGACGGCUAACUACGUGCCAGCAGCCGCGGUAAUACGUAGGUCCCGAGCGUUGUCCGGAUUUAUUGGGCGUAAAGCGAGCGCAGGCGGUUUGAUAAGUCUGAAGUUAAAGGCUGUGGCUCAACCAUAGUUCGCUUUGGAAACUGUCAAACUUGAGUGCAGAAGGGGAGAGUGGAAUUCCAUGUGUAGCGGUGAAAUGCGUAGAUAUAUGGAGGAACACCGGUGGCGAAAGCGGCUCUCUGGUCUGUAACUGACGCUGAGGCUCGAAAGCGUGGGGAGCGAACAGGAUUAGAUACCCUGGUAGUCCACGCCGUAAACGAUGAGUGCUAGGUGUUGGAUCCUUUCCGGGAUUCAGUGCCGCAGCUAACGCAUUAAGCACUCCGCCUGGGGAGUACGACCGCAAGGUUGAAACUCAAAGGAAUUGACGGGGGCCCGCACAAGCGGUGGAGCAUGUGGUUUAAUUCGAAGCAACGCGAAGAACCUUACCAGGUCUUGACAUCCCGAUGCUAUUUCUAGAGAUAGAAAGUUACUUCGGUACAUCGGUGACAGGUGGUGCAUGGUUGUCGUCAGCUCGUGUCGUGAGAUGUUGGGUUAAGUCCCGCAACGAGCGCAACCCCUAUUGUUAGUUGCCAUCAUUCAGUUGGGCACUCUAGCGAGACUGCCGGUAAUAAACCGGAGGAAGGUGGGGAUGACGUCAAAUCAUCAUGCCCCUUAUGACCUGGGCUACACACGUGCUACAAUGGUUGGUACAACGAGUUGCGAGUCGGUGACGGCGAGCUAAUCUCUUAAAGCCAAUCUCAGUUCGGAUUGUAGGCUGCAACUCGCCUACAUGAAGUCGGAAUCGCUAGUAAUCGCGGAUCAGCACGCCGCGGUGAAUACGUUCCCGGGCCUUGUACACACCGCCCGUCACACCACGAGAGUUUUAACACCCGAAGUCGGUGAGGUAACCUUUGGAGCCAGCCGCCUAA